rnacentral:rRNA from 1 species
AUUGAACGCUGGCGGAAUGCUUUACACAUGCAAGUCGAACGGCAGCACGGGGCAACCUGGUGGCGAGUGGCGAACGGGUGAGUAAUACAUCGGAACGUGCCCAAUCGUGGGGGAUAACGUAGCGAAAGCUACGCUAAUACCGCAUACGAUCUACGGAUGAAAGCGGGGGAUCGCAAGACCUCGCGCGAAUGGAGCGGCCGAUGGCAGAUUAGGUAGUUGGUGGGGUAAAGGCUCACCAAGCCUGCGAUCUGUAGCUGGUCUGAGAGGACGACCAGCCACACUGGAACUGAGACACGGUCCAGACUCCUACGGGAGGCAGCAGUGGGGAAUUUUGGACAAUGGGCGCAAGCCUGAUCCAGCCAUUCCGCGUGCAGGAUGAAGGCCCUCGGGUUGUAAACUGCUUUUGUACGGAACGAAAAGGCUUUCUCUAAUACAGGGGGCUCAUGACGGUACCGUAAGAAUAAGCAACCGGCUAACUACGUGCCAGCAGCCGC